rnacentral:rRNA from 1 species
UACAGGGGUCUCGAGCGUUAAUCGGAAUCACUGGGCUUAAAGGGUGCGUAGGCUGGCCCGUAAGUGCUUUGUGAAAUCCCACGGCUCAACCGUGGAACUGCUGGGCAUACUGCGUUUCUUGAGCCAAUCAGGGGUCGUCGGAACAAACGGUGGAGCGGUGAAAUGCGUAGAUAUCGUUUGGAACGCCAAAGGCGAAAGCAGACGACUGGGAUUGCGCUGACGCUGAGACACGAAAGCCAGGGGAGCAAACGGG